ensembl:lncRNA
CGUGCUUCCUUCUCUUCCUUCCCCAACCAGGGGAAUUCCUUCUAAUAAAAGUCUACACAGUAACUGGAAGGAAGGAAGGAAGGGAGGGAGGAAGGGAGGCGAGGGAGGAAGGAAGGAAGGAGGGAAGGAAAAAGUGAAAAGAAAGGGGGAGAGGGGAAGAAAAUGAUGAGAACUUUUGAAUGUUUAACAAAAGCAGUUGAAGAGCUACAAACCAGACAUUAAGCCUAAGUACCAGAGAGGAGAGAAUUGUGGAAGGAGGCAGGGUAUGUGGAAGAUGCAUGAACAAAAAGAAUUUCCUCACAAAUCUACAGAGAUUCACCAGGGAGAGGAUGGGAGGCAACAGUCUCAGAGUACUGCCACAAAAGCAAGAUACUUUUACUCUGCCGUCUGCUAUAACCUCUUCAGUUCAGCCCUUAUGGGACUUGAAAAGGAUGAGAGAGCGCUGUGAGAAGUGGAAAACUGUGUCCCGGCAGCCAUAGGAAACAAAUAUACUUUUGGAAUCAUCAUCAUGGAUCCAAAGUUUUCUCCAAGCCACCCUCCUGAGAGGUCUGGAAGCAGUGAUUGCAGAUUGACAUGUUUCCAAUAUUGUAGGAAGUUUUCUACCUAAAGAGUGAAUGGGGUGGCUUUUCUGAGUCAGCAGCCAGAUUGUGAAUCAGACUGUGGCUAAAUCCCCAGAGGAAAAAGGAGGCUCAUUCCUUUGGAG